UGGGCCAUCGCCAAGUGGUAAGGCACGGGACUUUGACUCCCGCAUUCCGCUGGUUCGAAUCCAGCUGGCCCAACCA
rnacentral:tRNA from 9 species